rnacentral:rRNA from 1 species
UACGUAGGGUGCAGGCGUUAAUCGGAAUUACUGGGCGUAAAGCGUGCGCAGGCGGUCUCUUAAGACAGGUGUGAAAUCCCCGGGCUUAACCUGGGAACUGCGCUUGUAACUGAGAGGCUAGAGUGUGGCAGAGGGGGGGUGGGAAUUCCACGUGUAGCAGUGAAAUGCGUAGAUAUGUGGAGGAACACCGAUGGCGAAGGCAGCCCCCUGGGUCAACACUGACGCUCAUGCACGAAAGCGUGGGGAGCAAACAGGAU